rnacentral:rRNA from 1 species
AGAGUUUGAUCCUGGCUCAGGACGAACGCUGGCGGCGUGCUUCACACAUGCAAGUCGAACGGAAAGGCUCCUUCGGGGGUACUCGAGUGGCGAACGGGUGAGUAACACGUAAGUAACCUGCCCUAGGCUCUGGGAUAACCAUUGGAAACGGUGGCUAAUACCGGAUAUGACCCAUCACCGCAUGGUGUGUGGGUGGAAAGUUUUAUCGGCCUGGGAGGGGCUUGCGGCCUAUCAGUUUGUUGGUGGGGUGAUGGCCUACCAAGACUGCGACGGGUAGCCGGCCUGAGAGGGCGGUCGGUCACAUUGGGACUGAGAUACGGCCCAGACUCCUACGGGAGGCAGCAGUGGGGAAUAUUGCACAAUGGGGGGAACCCUGAUGCAGCGACGCCGCGUGGAGGAUGACGGUUUUCGGAUUGUAAACUCCUUUUAUUCAUGACGAAGGCCAGUGAUUCCAUUGGUUGACGGUAGUGUUUGAAUAAGCGCCGGCUAACUACGUGCCAGCAGCCGCGGUAAGACGUAGGGCGCGAGCGUUGUCCGGAUUUAUUGGGCGUAAAGGGCUCGUAGGCGGCUUGUCGCGUCUACCGUGAAAGGCAGUGACUUAAUCAUUGUUUUGCGGUGGAUACGGGCAGGCUUGAGGCAAGUAGGGGAGAUUGGAAUUCUACGUGUAGCGGUGGAAUGCGCAGAUAUGUGGAGGAACACCGGUGGCGAAGGCGGAUCUCUGGGCUUGUACUGACGCUGAGGAGCGAAAGCGUGGGGAGCGAACAGGAUUAGAUACCCUGGUAGUCCAUGCUGUAAACGGUGGGCGCUAGGUGUGGGGCUCUUUAUGGGUUCUGUGCCGUAGCUAACGCAUUAAGCGCCCCGCCUGGGGAGUACGGUCGCAAGGCUAAAACUCAAAGGAAUUGACGGGGGCCCGCACAAGCGGCGGAGCAUGCGGAUUAAUUCGAUGCAACGCGAAGAACCUUACCUGGGUUUGACAUCACCCGGAAACCUCUAGAGAUAGAGGCCUCUUCGGACUGGGUGACAGGUGGUGCAUGGCUGUCGUCAGCUCGUGUCGUGAGAUGUUGGGUUAAGUCCCGCAACGAGCGCAACCCUUAUCCUGUAUUGCCAGCACGUAAUGGUGGGGACUUGCGGGAGACUGCCGGGGUUAACUCGGAGGAAGGUGGGGAUGAGGUCAAGUCAUCAUGCCCCUUAUGUCCAGGGCUUCACGCAUGCUACAUUGGCCGGUACAGCGGGUUGCGAUACCGUGAGGUGGAGCGAAUCUCUGUAAAGCCGGUCUUGGUUCGGAUUCGAGUCUGCAACUCGACUCGAUGAAGGUGGAGUCGCUAGUAAUCGCAGAUCAGCAACGCUGCGGUGAAUGCGUUCCCGGGCCUUGUACACACCGCCCGUCACGUCAUGAAAGUUGGCAACACCCGAAGCCUGCGGCCUAACCCACUUGUGGGAGGGAGCGGUCGAAGGUGGGGCUGGCGAUUAGGACGAAGUCGUAACAAGGUAACC